rnacentral:rRNA from 1 species
GUCUACGGCCAUCCUACCCUGAAUGUGCCCGAUCUCGUCUGAUCUCGGAAGCUAAGCAGGGUCGGGCCUGGUUAGUACUUGGAUGGGAGACCACCUGGGAAUACAGGGUGCUGUAGGCU